GGAGUGAUGCUCGCGGCGAGGCAAUUGCUCAGCAGACGGCGGUGCUCUCUAAUGAAGGUGAGGGAGUCCCUUUUAUAGAAUAAGGGUUCGCUCCUCAAUACAUAAAUGAUGGGCUAGGAGUGAUGCUCGCGGCGAGGCAAUUGCUCAGCAGACGGCGGUGCUCUCUAAUGAAGGUGAAGGAGUCCCUUUUAUAAAAUAAGGGCUCACUCCCUCAAUACAUAAAUAAUGGGCUAAGAGUGAUGCUCGCGGCGAGGCAGUUGCUCAGCAGGCGGCUGUGCUCUCUAAUGAAGGUGAGGGAGUCCCUUUUAUAAAAUAAGGGCUCGCUCCCUCAAUACAUAAAUAAUAGGCUAAAUCCCCCAAGAAUUUUUCAUGAGGCCCAGUUGAGGCCCAAUAUAUGGUAUAUAAUGUAGUCCCCCAAGUCUUUGGUCAAUAGAGUAUGUUGGCUGGAGACUUCAAAUUGAAUCCAUGUAUGGGCCGAAGUGGCGGUUGUUCGAAGGCGGUAUUUGUAUACCCUGCACUAAAGCUUUGUAGGUGAAGCUUUGGAAGUGAAGCUUUAAAGCUGGAGCUCUGUAAAUGAAGCUUUUGAAGCUAGAGCUUUUGUAAAUGAAGCUUUUGAAGCUAUAGCUCUGUAAAUGAGGCUUUUAAAGGUAGAGCUUUUGUAAAUAAAGCUUUUGUAAAUAAAGCUUUUGAAGCUGUAGCUCUGUAAAUGAAGCUUUUGAAGCUAGAGCUUUUAUAAAUGAAGCUUUUAAAGCUAGAGCUCUGUAAAUGAAGCUUUUGAAGCUAGAGUUUUUGUAAAUGAAGCUUUUGAAGCUAGAGCUCUGUAAAUGAAGCUUUUGAAGCUGAUUGACAUGAGUGAUGCUCAUGAAUGUUUAUGUUGAUUAACAUGAGUGAUGCUCAUGGAUGUUGACAUGAGUGAUGCUCAUAGAUGUUGACAUGAGUGAUGUUCAUGAAUGUUUAUGUAUGAUUGAUAUGAGUAAUGCUCAUGAAUGUUUAUGUAUGAUUGACAUGAGUAAUGCUCAUGUAUAAUUUGAAGUACUAGGCGUACUUUUGAUCACCUGGUUAGUGAUAAUAGUGGCAGGCUGCCAAAUAAUUUUAGAGUAUUGGGCGUACUUUUGAUCACUUGGUUGGCGAUAAUGGCGGCAGGGUGCCGAAUAAUUUUUGUAGUAAUGGACGUAGUUUUGAUCACUUGGUUGGUGUUAUUUUGGGCUUAUGGGCCUUCGCCCUCCACACAACAUUCCAGCCCAUUUAUUUUGGGCUUGCCCUUUUUUUUUUUUUUUUUUUGAUUACCCUCUGAUUACAGAGAUGUCUAUGAAAGAUAAGAAAAAAUAAAUCACAUCAUACAUAAACAAGAAAAGUAAAUCACAUCAUUCUGGUGGGGUGUUUAUUCCUUGCUUUUGCUUUCUCUUUUGCUGCUUUCUAGAAUAUUCUCCCAACGACAUGAUCUUUUUUCUUUUUCUUUUUUGUUCCUUUACCCUGAUAUCUCCACUUCUAGACACAUUCACUUGCUUUUGCUUUUACCUUCCCUUUUCUGCUUUCUGAAAUAUUCUCCCAACGACAUGAUCUUUCUCUUUCCUCUUUUCCUGACCUAACAAGCUA
rnacentral:lncRNA from 1 species